rnacentral:rRNA from 1 species
UGCGCAGGCGGAAUGAUAAGUCAGUGGUGAAAGCCUACAGCUUAACUGUAGAAUUGCCAUUGAUACUGUCGUUCUUGAGUACAGUUGAAGUGGGCGGAAUGUGUCAUGUAGCGGUGAAAUGCAUAGAUAUGACACAGAACACCGGUAGCGAAGGCAGCUCACUAAGCUGAAACUGACGCUCAUGCACGAAAGCGUGGGGAGCAAACAGGAUUAGAUACCCUGGUAGUCC